AUUGAACGCUGGCGGCAUGCCUUACACAUGCAAGUCGAACGGUAACAGGUUAAGCUGACGAGUGGCGAACGGGUGAGUAAUGUAUCGGAACGUGCCCAGUCGUGGGGGAUAACUGCUCGAAAGAGCAGCUAAUACCGCAUACGACCUGGGGGUGAAAGCGGGGGAUCGCAAGACCUCGCGCGAUUGGAGCGGCCGAUAUCAGAUUAGGUAGUUGGUGAGGUAAAGGCUCACCAAGCCGACGAUCUGUAGCUGGUCUGAGAGGACGACCAGCCACACUGGGACUGAGACACGGCCCAGACUCCUACGGGAGGCAGCAGUGGGGAAUUUUGGACAAUGGGCGCAAGCCUGAUCCAGCCAUGCCGCGUGCGGGAAGAAGGCCUUCGGGUUGUAAACCGCUUUUGUCAGGGAAGAAAAGGUUCUGGCUAAUACCUGGGACUCAUGACGGUACCUGAAGAAUAAGCACCGGCUAACUACGUG
rnacentral:rRNA from 1 species